rnacentral:rRNA from 1 species
UACGGGGGGGGCAAGCGUUGUUCGGAAUUACUGGGCGUAAAGGGCUCGUAGGUGGCCAACUAAGUCAGACGUGAAAUCCCUCGGCUUAACCGGGGAACUGCGUCUGAUACUGGAUGGCUUGAGUUUGGGAGAGGGAUGCGGAAUUCCAGGUGUAGCGGUGAAAUGCGUAGAUAUCUGGAGGAACACCGGUGGCGAAGGCGGCAUCCUGGGCCAACACUGACACUGAGGAGCGAAAGCCAGGGGAGCAAACAGG